rnacentral:rRNA from 1 species
GGUGAGUGAUGAAGGUCUCGGAUCGUAAACUCUGUUGUUAGGGAAGAACAAGUGCCAUAGUAACUGAUGGCACCUUGACGGUACCUAACCAGAAAGCCACGGCUAACUACGUGCCAGCAGCCGCGGUAAUACGUAGGUGGCAAGCGUUGUCCGGAAUUAUUGGGCGUAAAGCGCUCGCAGGCGGUUCUUUAAGUCUGAUGUGAAAUCUUACGGCUCAACCGUAAACGUGCAUUGGAAACUGGGGAACUUGAGUGCAGAAGAGGAGAGUGGAAUUCCACGUGUAGCGGUGAAAUGCGUAGAGAUGUGGAGGAACACCAGUGGCGAAGGCGACUCUCUGGUCUGCAACUGACGCUGAGGAGCGAAAGCGUGGGGAGCGAACAGGAUUAGAUACCCUGGUAGUCCACGCCGUAAACGAUGAGUGCUAGGUGU